UACGGGGGGAGCAAGCGUUGCCCGGAAUCACUGGGCGUAAAGGGUGUGUAGGUGGAUUUGCAAGUCAAGCGUGAAAUCUUACGGCUCAACUGUAAAACGGCGCUUGAAACUGCAUUUCUUGAGUACGGGAGAGGAGAAUGGAAUUUCAGGUGUAGCGGUGAAAUGCGUAGAUAUCUGAAAGAACACCGGUUGCGAAGGCUAUUCUCUAUCCUAAUACUGACACUGUGACACGAAAGCUAGGGGAG
rnacentral:rRNA from 1 species